GGUGUAGGCGGCCUUUCAAGUCGGAUGUUAAAUCUCCUGGCCUAACUAGGAGGGUGCAUCCGAUACUGUUGGGCUAGAGUGCAGUAGAGGGAAGCGGAAUUCCCGGUGUAGUGGUGAAAUGCGUAGAUAUCGGGAGGAACACCAGUGGCGAAGGCGGCUUCCUGGGCUGCUACUGACGCUGAGGCCCGAAGGCGUGGGGAGCAAACAGGAUUAGAUACCCUGGUAGUCCACGCAGUAAACGAUGGAUACUAGGUAUGGGGAGUAUCGACCCUCCCUGUGCCGAAGCUAACGCUUUAAGUAUCCCGCCUGGGGACUACGGUCGCAAGACUAAA
rnacentral:rRNA from 1 species